rnacentral:rRNA from 1 species
UACGGAGGGGGCCAGCGUUGUUCGGAAUCAUUGGGCGUAAAGGGCGCGUAGGCGGCCACGCAAGUCGAAUGUGAAAUCCCUCGGCUCAACCGAGGAACUGCAUCCGAAACUGCGAGGCUCGAGUCCUGGAGAGGGUAGUGGAAUUCCCAGUGUAGCGGUGAAAUGCGUAGAUACUGGGAGGAACACCGGUGGCGAAGGCGGCUACCUGGACAGGUACUGACGCUGAUGCGUGAAAGCCAGGGGAGCAAACAGG